GGACAACCUAACCUAUGGUGGGGGAUAACCCCGGGAAACUGGGGAUAAUACCCCAUAGACUAUGGAAGCUGGAAUGCUCUGUAGCCGAAAGGUCAGCCGCCGUAGGAUGGGUCUGCGGCCGAUUAGGUAGUUGUUGGGGUAACGGCCCGACAAGCCUGUAAUCGGUACGGGUUGUGGGAGCAAGAGCCCGGAGAUGGAUUCUGAGACACGAAUCCAGGCCCUACGGGGCGCAGCAGGCGCGAAAACUUUACAAUGCGGGAAACCGUGAUAAGGGAACUCCGAGUGCCCGUUAAAUCGGGCUGUCCACCAGUUUAAAUAACUGGUGAAGAAAGGGCCGGGCAAGACCGGUGCCAGCCGCCGCGGUAAUACCGGCGGCUCGAGUGGUGGCCACUAUUACUGGGCUUAAAGCGUUCGUAGCUGGUUUGUUAAGUCUCUGGGGAAAUCUUCCGGCUUAACCGGAAGGCGUCUCAGGGAUACUGGCAGACUAGGGACCGGAAGAGGUGAGGGGUACUCCAGGGGUAGGAGUGAAAUCCUGUAAUCCUUG
rnacentral:rRNA from 1 species